rnacentral:lncRNA from 1 species
GGAGAAUUAGUGCAGCGGAUAAAAACGUCGAUUUUGAAAAUCUUUCAUACAUUCAAUGAAAACAAAUAUCAGAAAUGUGAGUUUAACUUGAAAGCAUAUAGAAGAGUGUAAUGAGAAGAUAAAGCAAGUAAGGUCAUUUGCAAUAAAAGUAAAGAGCUUAAAGUAAAUGCACACCGAGUUUUAUAGUGGUUUGGUCAUCGUGAC